rnacentral:rRNA from 1 species
CAAAAAAACCCAGAAAAGAAAUGGAAACAAAAAAUAACUUUGAGCGGUGGAUCACUCGGCUCGUGCGUCGAUGAAGAGCGCAGCCAGCUGCGUGAAUUAAUGUGAAUUGCAGAACACAUUGAAC